rnacentral:misc_RNA from 1 species
CUGUACUGGAUGGCAUGACUGAAGAGUAUUGAUACUGAGGUACUCGAAAUCAUCUUCUAAUGAAGAUUUUUCUUCGUCUGAAAAGAUCUCUUUCAGGAUGAAGACAGUUUCUUCAUUAGCUUCUUCUUGUUCUGAAAAUAGAGACUUAAUGUCAGCAUUGUCCAGGUCAAAAUGCGUCUUUGGUGAAUUUGUUGAAUCAAUUUUGCUGCUUGUUUGGGCUUUUGAGGGCAUUCUUUGGAGAAGUGUCCCUUUUUUCCACAGAUAAAGCAUCUGUCUUUUUUGAACUUUUUUCCUUUGGCUAUUUUUUCUUGAAA